GUUUUUAAGCUGGUAGCAUAAAAUGAUUAAGAUUUUAAAUUUAAUCAAUAUUUUGAAGGUUUGAAUAUGAAAUGCAAUCGAUAAAUGCAGUUUAAAUGAGAAUUGAUGUGCUUCGUAUCUCAGAUAAUUAUCCCGUACGGUUCACGGAAACGAGCGUCUAUGCCAGACAACAUGAAUAUUGACACAACAAUACUGGAAACGGAGAGUAAUACAGCUUUUGGAGACAUAUAUAUCAGUUAUUAAGCAGGUCUUGAAUGAAGUCUUGAUUAUGGAGGAUCUGUUUGUAAAUUCCUGACAUGAAUAGAAAAUGACAGAGGGAGAAGUCCAGGUUAAUGUUAGAAGGACAAUUCAGCAAAGUUCCAACUAUAUAAAAUGAAAUCUGAUUUUGAGGCAAAUAUAUAUGUAAGAUGAAUAGAAGACAUAAUACUCUAGCGGUGCUUCAGAAUCACACUAUAGAAGUAUGAAGAAUUUUGGUUGUAAUCAAGUUAACCUGAAGCUUCAUAGUAAAACAGAUGCUAGGCAACACCCUCACUAUUCAAGUCAGACUAUAAAAGGAAGCUUUUUUGCUGAUAGGUGAACUUAUGAAGAAGAAAUCAAAGAGUGGAGCCUUUAGAAGAUAGAACAUUCAAAUAUUAUUUGUUACUAUUUCAGUAAUUAUAACUUAUCGAAUGUGAACUGUUUAACAUAUUCUUAAAUAUAAAUAUAAUUGAAUUUCAA